rnacentral:rRNA from 1 species
GGUCUGGGAUGGGCUCGCGGCCUAUCAGCUUGUUGGUGAGGUAAUGGCUCACCAAGGCGACGACGGGUAGCCGGCCUGAGAGGGCGACCGGCCACACUGGGACUGAGACACGGCCCAGACUCCUACGGGAGGCAGCAGUGGGGAAUAUUGCACAAUGGGCGCAAGCCUGAUGCAGCGACGCCGCGUGAGGGAUGACGGCCUUUGGGUUGUAAACCUCUUUCAGCAGGGAAGAAGCGCAAGUGACGGUACCUGCAGAAGAAGCACCGGCUAACUACGUGCCAGCAGCCGCGGUAAUACGUAGGGUGCGAGCGUUGUCCGGAAUUAUUGGGCGUAAAGAGCUUGUAGGCGGUCUGUCGCGUCUGCUGUGAAAAUCCGGGGCUCAACCCCGGACUUGCAGUGGGUACGGGCAGACUAGAGUGUGGUAGGGGAGACUGGAAUUCCUGGUGUAGCGGUGAAAUGCGCAGAUAUCAGGAGGAACACCGAUGGCGAAGGCAGGUCUCUGGGCCAUAACUGACGCUGAGAAGCGAAAGCAUGGGGAGCGAACAGGAUUAGAUACCCUGGUAGUCCAUGCCGUAAACGUUGGGAACUAGGUGUGGGUCUCAUUCCACGAGAUCCGUGCCGCAGCUAACGC